UACGUAGGGCGCAAGCGUUGUCCGGAAUUAUUGGGCGUAAAGAGCUCGUAGGCGGUUUGUCACGUCGGAUGUGAAAGCCCGGGGCUUAACCCCGGGUCUGCAUUCGAUACGGGCAGACUAGAGUGUGGUAGGGGAGAUCGGAAUUCCUGGUGUAGCGGUGAAAUGCGCAGAUAUCAGGAGGAACACCGGUGGCGAAGGCGGGUCUCUGGGCAGUAACUGACGCUGAGGAGCGAAAGCGUGGGGAGCAAACAGG
rnacentral:rRNA from 1 species